AAAAGCCCAGCGCCGAAUCCCGCGUCCCAAGAGGGCGUCUGGGAAAUGUGGCGGGGCCUGUCCGCAUCCUCCCCCGCGCGGGGUGCGGGUCGCCUGGCAGGUCGCUUGUCGCCGGACCGUCUUCACCUGAGCGUGUGCGGUCCGCGGCAUGGCCCCGCUGGAUUCGGAGCGACUCCCGCUUUCUGGGUGCAGGACGUCGGCAGCGAGUAGGUCGGUCACCCACCCGACCCGUCUUGAAACACGGACCAAGGAGUCUAACAUGUGCGCAAGUCAUUGGGACUUGUUUAUGCCCAUAGGCGAAAUGAAAGUGAAGGCACGGUUUCGGCCGGCCGCGUUGGGAUCCCCCGGACGAGUGCCGGGGGCGCACCAACGGCCCGUCCCGAUCGCAACGUCGACGGGGCGGAGCGAGAGCGCACACGUUGGGACCCGAAAGAUGGUGAACUAUGCCUGGGCAGGACGAAGCCAGAGGAAACUCUGGUGGAGGUCCGCAGCGAUUCUGACGUGCAAAUCGAUCGUCAGACCUAGGUAUAGGGGCGAAAGACUAAUCGAACCAUCUAGUAGCUGGUUCCCUCCGAAGUUUCCCUCAGGAUAGCUGGCGCUCGUCGGAGGCAUUCUGAUCCGGUAAAGCGAAUGAUUAGAGGCCUUGGGGCCGAAACGACCUCAACCUAUUCUCAAACUUUAAAUGGGUAAGAAGUCCGGCUUGCUUGACUGAAGCCCGGUACUUCUAGGAUGCGAGUGCCCAGUGGGCCACUUUUGGUAAGCAGAACUGGCGCUGUGGGAUGAACCAAACGCCGGGUUAAGGCGCCCGAUGCGAGACGCUCAUGAGACCCCAUGAAAGGUGUUGGUUGCUAUAGACAGCAGGACGGUGGCCAUGGAAGUCGGAAUCCGCUAAGGAGUGUGUAACAACUCACCUGCCGAAGCAACUAGCCCUGAAAAUGGAUGGCGCUUCAGCGUCGAGCCCAUACCCGGCCGUCGCGGCCGCAGGCAGUGCCUUAGGCCGCGACGAGUAGGAGGGCGCAGGGGUGUGCGUUGAAGGUGCCGGGCGUGAGCCCGCCUGGAGCCGCCCCUGGUGCAGAUCUUGGUGGUAGUAGCAAAUACUCAAGUGAGAACCUUGAGGACUGAGGUGGAGAAGGGUUCCAUGUGAACAGCAGUUGAACAUGGGUCAGUCGGUCCUAAGGGAUAGGAGAAAUCCGUUCCGAAGCGGGACCUUUUUCAAGAGGUGUUGAUGGUCCCGCGAAAGACCGAAAGGGAAUCGGGUUAAUAUUCCCGAACCCGGACAUGGAGAUCGGCCCCUCACGGGGUUCAGUGCGGUAACGCAAACGACCUCGGAGACGUCGACGGGAGUCCCGGGAAGAGUUGUCUUUUCUUUGUAAGGAUUCGGCUCCCUGGAAUCGGCUCGCCCGGAGAUAGGGAUGCUGUACCCGUAAAGCACCGCGCCUCUUGCGGUGUCCGGAGCGCUCCCGUCGGCCCUUGAAAAUCCGAGCGAGAGAUUGUGAUUUUCGUGCCGGACCGUACCCAUAUCCGCAGCAGGUCUCCAAGGUGAACAGCCUC
rnacentral:rRNA from 1 species